GGGAAACUAAUUAUCAGGUCAUUGAUCCUACAUGUCAUCAGACAUCUACUAUUAUGUAUAUACAACUUUAAGCAAGUAGGACACAAAUAAAAAGGAGCAACUUUUAAGACAUUAAGAUCACCCCCGCCAGUGAUAACUAAAUCGUCAACUUAAAGUCUAAAACGACCAAGUAAAUCCAUAGAUCUAGAGAAGAAUGGUGAAAGAACACAUAAUGAUCAGCUUCUAUGAGUCAUUCCAAACUCCUGAAUAACUGUUUUGAACUUAACAAACCAGGCUCGUGGAGACUGUUUCAAACCAUGGAAUGACUGACGCAAUAAAAAAACAAGACCACUGGACUCUCCUGGAACAACAAGCCUAGUGGUUGGUCCAUAUAAAUUUUGCUAACAAUAGGACCUUGGCCUAACCCCAAAAGCUGCUAGCUUCAUGCUAUGAAGAUUGCCCAAAACCAUAUAAGGACCCAUUCUGAUGCACAACUAAUGUGGGACCCCUCCCCUCAUGCUUAGGACAGGACAUGUGAAACGUGGAUAAUAUUACAUGGAGGCUCAACAUCAUAUAAACCAAGAAUUGGAAUGGUUCUUGCUCUGAUACCACAUGAGAAAAUAAGACAUGGAAACAUUGAGUGAUAACUUAAAGUGGUGAAAUAGGAAAGGAUCAAUCCAAUAAAUUCUAACUAAUCCUAGUUGACGUACAAUAUCAUUUGGAUUUCUUAACAAGCUACAUCUGAGAUUUUGAUACACUGAAUAUAAUUUGUUAAAGAACUAAUUUCCAAGUGAAUGACAUCAAUAAACAAGAGACCAAAAGAGUGACAUCCACUGCAAUGAAGCCUGACCCUCUUUUGUGACCAUGAGUCUUGCCUGAUGCUGGCAAUUGGAAAGUGAGGCCAAGGUUAUUCUAUUCUUGUACCCUAGCAAACCAUCACUUAUAUGUAAACAUCAAUAAUUUUCCAUAUCAUGUCAUAUUUUAUAGUGCUACAGAAUAGUGUUAGAUUUAGAAAAAAGUUCCCAACCUCAAAUGUGUAAAUAGGAGGACUGGUGAGCCCCCCAGUCACUAAUAGCAAGUAAAAGGUGACCAAGCUAAGUUGGAGCCAAACUGACCAACAUCGCAUAUUUAUUAUAUAAGGGAAAGAGCCCAAAUACGCCAUCAAACUUUGAGAAAAAGGCUCAUCUAUGUCAUCCGUUAAAAAUUUGGCUCAUCUACGCCAUUUCUGUUUGAGAGAAGGUUCAUCCAUGGAUUAUUUGUUAACGCAAAACAAUUCCGGUUUUGCAAAAUCAUUUUUUACACGUGGUCAAUUAUGACUCUGCCACAGUAAUUAAAUCAUUUUUAAAAGGGAAAAGGCUCAAAUAUGCAAUCGAACUUUGAGGAAAGGCUCAUCUAUGCCAUCCGUUUAAAGUUUGGCUCAUCUAUGCCAUUUCCGCUUGAGAAAAGGCUCAUCUAUGCCAUCCGUUUAAAGUUUGGCUCAUCUAUGCCAUUCCGUUUAAAGUUUUGGCUCAUCUAUGCCAUUUCCGCUUGAGAAAAGGCUCAUCUAUGUCAUCCGUUAAAAAUUUGGCUCAUCUACGCCAUUUCUGUUUGAGAGAAGGUUCAUCCAUGGAUUAUUUGUUAACGCAAAACAAUUCCGGUUUUGCAAAAUCAUUUUUUACACGUGGUCAAUUAUGACUC
rnacentral:lncRNA from 1 species